CCUACGGGCGGCAGCAGUGAGGAAUAUUGGUCAAUGGACGAGAGUCUGAACCAGCCACGUCGCGUGAAGGAUGACUGCCCUAUGGGUUGUAAACUUCUUUUAUAAAGGAAUAAAACGAGGCACGUGUGCCGUUGUGCAUGUACUGUAUGAGUAAGGAUCGGCUAACCCCGUUCCAGCAGCCGCGGUAAUACGGAGGAUCCGAGCGUUACCCGGAUUUAUUGGGUUUAAAGGGAGCGUAGAUGGGAUGUUAAGGCAGUUGUGAAAGUUUGCGGCUCAACCGUAAAAUUGCAAUUGAUACUGGCAGUCUUGAGUACAGUUGAGGUAAGCGGAAUUCGUGGUGUAGCGGUGAAAUGCUUAGAUAUCACGAAGAACCCCGAUUGCGAAGGCAGCUUACU
rnacentral:rRNA from 1 species